UUGACCUCAAAUCAGGUAGGAUUACCCGCUGAACUUAAGCAUAUCAAUAAGCGGAGGAAAAGAAACCAACAGGGAUUGCCUUAGUAACGGCGAGUGAAGCGGCAAAAGCUCAAAUUUGAAAUCUGGCACCUUCGGUGUCCGAGUUGUAAUUUGAAGAAGGUAACUUUGGAGUCAGCUCUUGUCUAUGUUCCUUGGAACAGGACGUCACAGAGGGUGAGAAUCCCGUGCGAUGAGAUGUCUGAUUCUAUGUAAAGUGCUUUCGAAGAGUCGAGUUGUUUGGGAAUGCAGCUCUAAGUGGGUGGUAAAUUCCAUCUAAAGCUAAAUAUUGGCGAGAGACCGAUAGCGAACAAGUACAGUGAUGGAAAGAUGAAAAGAACUUUGAAAAGAGAGUGAAAAAGUACGUGAAAUUGUUGAAAGGGAAGGGUUUGAGAUCAGACUUGGUAUUUUGUAUGUCUUGCUUUCGGGUGGGGCCUCUACAGUUUACUGGGCCAGCAUCGGUUUGGACGGUAGGAUAAUGACAUUGGAAUGUGGCACCACCUUGGUGGUGUGUUAUAGACUUUGUUGAUACUGCCUGUCUAGACCGAGGACUGCGUCUUUGACUAGGAUGCUGGCAUAAUGAUCUUAAACCGC
rnacentral:rRNA from 1 species